UGUCUGUUAGUAUACGUUUCAGUUCAUGAUCUUGCUUUAGUUUUAAAUUCUUUUAAAGAAUAUAAACAAUAAUUAGGCGUUCCCAAUUGUGUUAACCGCUUGAGAUAACUUCUAUGUUUCAGUUGAUUUGCUAAAAUUUUACUAAUGCUUAAUUUUGUCUUUUAGGACGUCUGAUUUGUUUUCUGAAGUUCUCAAGAUUCUAAACUAGUUUAGGUUUUUUUACCUUGUCAAAAAAUCUUGAGCUAUAUAGUACUAAUAUAUCUUCUUUCACUUUUCAUAAAUUUUUGGAUUGUUAAGACCCGUUAGAAGAAAAAACUUUAACUUGCUCUUUGUGUAGGUUGUUAUCAAGUAGUCUAACGUGUUAUCAAAUUUCAGUACUAUUUCAGUACUGGAUAGUGGUUUACCAUUUGCCGUAAAGGCUCUAAUAAACACCAUGGGCGUGUGUUUUCUUUUUUAGGUUUUUACGGGCGUUUAUUAGGCGUUUAUUUUGUAGCUUUAUUUAAAGUUCUCUCUCUCUGCAUCUUAAUGACACUUGCAUUUUCGAUAAAUCGUGUCCGAAAACAGUCUUUUUUAUUUUUUGUUUGUUCAAAUUUUGGUCUGAAAAAUAGACGCCUACAAGAAUUUUUUACAAGUAUUUUUUGGAACUUUAAGUGUCCCAAAACAUGCUCCGUCUGCCAGACUAUUACAGCCGCAUUCACAUGUUGUGGUGUAAUUUAUAUGUAAAUUUUUACCAUUCAUGAGAGAAUGAACAUUUGGUAAAAGCAUAUAGUUCAGUCGUUAAGUGUUUUGACCUGGAAAAAUAUGAUAUAGAGCUGAAACUUGGCACACUUACUCCAUUUUAUAUGUAGAUAACCAGAAAAAAAGCCCCAUUGAUAGCAUUUGUAGAAAAUGAGAUAUGCGCCAUUUCAAAAAAGGCGAACUUCCUAAUUUUUCAGAAAACGAAAGCUGGUAAAUUCGAAAACUAAUUAAACUAUUGAAAAGAACUUUCGAUUUGGAACAAAAAAUAUUAUUACACCGACUUACAAAAAUCAUUAAUUGUGGGGGGGAGGGACAAUGCAUACAGUUAUUUUCUAAUUUAUCAAUGCUAGAUAUUUAGAUUUAUUUUACUUAUAAAAGGUCAGAAAAGAAGUUUGCUUUAUUUAUAUCCCAGACCAUUCGAAUCACAAGUUUAGAAUUUUUGGCAUAGAGUCCGAUCAAAAAUUCUACUUUUGAUGAACUAUCACAAGUUUACGUUAAGUACGUUCGACGGCACUAUAAAUCUUGCACCAUUGUCUUUGAUGGAUAUGAUGGUCCUAGCACGAAAUCAAAUGAGCACAUGCGACGAACAGGUAGUGGAAAACGAUGCCCCAAUAUUGAUGUUGUUGGUUUUAACUAAGUAUCUUUUACCCAAGAAAGUUUUCUGAAUAACGAAGAUAACAAAACACGUUUCAUCAGGCAUAUCAGCAUAAAACAGUGAAGAUUUGUGAAGGUGAUGCUGAUACAACAAUCGUCGCAACAGCGCUAAAAGAAGCCGAAACAAACAAUCAAAAAGUCGUUGUAACAGUUGCCGAUGAUACCGAUGUCGCAAUGACGAUUCUAUACCGUUGGUAAGAACAUCAUGGAGAUGUUUACUUUUUUCAAGAGAGGUUGGAUAAAGCCCGGAACAUGAAAGUUUUCUGUCAGAAAUGAAACCCUAUCCGACAGCAUAUUCUUUUUGUACAUUCGUUUUCCGGCUGUGAUACAACAUCUGCACCUUUCGCGAAGGGAAAAAAUAACUUGCUGUCAUUGGUCACAAAGAACAAAACAUUGCAGAUUGUCUCAGACACAAUGAAUGAUGUUUGGGCAGACAACGGAGAUGUCAAAGAAGCUGCCAUCAAAGCGUUUCAAAUCAUUUAUGGUGGUAACGACUUGACUGAUUUAUGCAAACUUAGGUGAGUUUCUUAUAUAAUAUAACAUUUAUUCACAAUACAAAAGGUUCUCUUCAUUUAGUAUAAUCUCAAGGUGCAUUAUUGCAGAUACCGGAAAUAUCUCGAUAUAUGUUGGAAAGGAAAAAUUGAUCCUGAAAAGAUGCCACCUACGGAAAGUCCUGCUAUUCUACACGGUUUUCGAGUUCAUCUACAGAUAAUGAAUUAGAAGAUAUUAGAGGAAGAAGAGCUUAAGCAAAUUGAUCCAAGCAAAUGGGGCUGGAAAAUUGAAAAUAAACAAGUCGCUCCUGAUAGCCUCCUAAAAAUCAUUCAAUGCAACUGCAAGGCUACGUCGAAGUCACCCUGUUUAACAAAUUUGUGUUCGUGCAGAAAACAUGGUCUGAGCUGUAUGCAGUCUUGUGGAGAAUGUCGCGGUGAAACAUGUGAAAAUAAAGAUGUCCGCUCUCUAUAAUUCUUCAUUUUUAAAGGCAAAUCUCUUAUAAGGAGUCAGUUCAGCAAAAAAAACAGCCUUUAUCUUAUUUUUUCUUUUUUUAGGUAUUCGAUAUUGAUAGUAACGUCGAAGAUGAUUUGGAAGAUGAAGAAGAGAAUAGAAACAUUCUUGAUAUAUUUGAUGCAAUUUGAUUUCACAAAUUUGUAUACAAAUAUUUACUUUUUUAAGAUGAAAACUAUUAAAGAAAGUCCA